CGAUCGGGGAUGACGAAGGUCAUCUGGGUCAAAUAACGGGUUACCCAGUGGGUCCCGCAAAUAGUCGCCCUCACCAGAGCCAGGAGGCGUAGUGCCCUGAAUCGUACUCUUUUGGGUAGCAACGCCUGUUUGGAUGUCAGACCCGGAAUCCGAAAAUUCUGCGCUGUAAUGAUCCAUAUAGGGAUCCUCAUAUUCUUCCUUCACACUCCGGUCCGAAUCGGACGAAUCCCCAUGGGCACGUGCCCGUUUCCAAGUUCUGGCCGAUUUUGCCCGGCCAGGGGCUCUAGUGCGCGGUGGU